rnacentral:rRNA from 1 species
CCUACGGGUGGCAGCAGUGGGGAAUAUUGCACAAUGGGCGCAAGCCUGAUGCAGCCAUGCCGCGUGUGUGAAGAAGGCCUUCGGGUUGUAAAGCACUUUCAGCGGGGAGGAAAGCGGUGAGGUUAAUAACCUCAUCGAUUGACGUUACCCGCAGAAGAAGCACCGGCUAACUCCGUGCCAGCAGCCGCGGUAAUACGGAGGGUGCAAGCGUUAAUCGGAAUUACUGGGCGUAAAGCGCACGCAGGCGGUCUGUCAAGUCGGAUGUGAAAUCCCCGGGCUCAACCUGGGAACUGCAUUCGAAACUGGCAGGCUAGAGUCUUGUAGAGGGGGGUAGAAUUCCAGGUGUAGCGGUGAAAUGCGUAGAGAUCUGGAGGAAUACCGGUGGCGAAGGCGGCCCCCUGGACAAAGACUGACGCUCAGGUGCGAAAGCGUGGGGAGCAAACAGGAUUAGAUACCCCUGUAGUC